UCCAGACUCCUACGGGAGGCAGCAGUGGGGAAUAUUGGGCAAUGGACGCAAGUCUGACCCAGCAACGCCGCGUGAAGGAAGAAGGCUUUCGGGUUGUAAACUUCUUUUAAGGGGGAAGAGUAGAAGACGGUACCCCUUGAAUAAGCCACGGCUAACUACGUGCCAGCAGCCGCGGUAAUACGUAGGGGGCGAGCGUUAUCCGGAUUCACUGGGUGUAAAGGGAGCGUAGACGGCCAAGCAAGCCAGGGGUGAAAGCCCGGGGCCCAACCCCGGGACUGCCCUUGGAACUGCACGGCUGGAGUGCGGGAGGGGCAGGCGGAAUUCCUGGUGUAGCGGUGAAAUGCGUAGAUAUCAGGAGGAACACCGGCGGCGAAGGCGGCCUGCUGGACCGCGACUGACGUUGAGGCUCGAAAGCGUGGGGAGCGAACAGGAUUAGAUACCCGCGUAG
rnacentral:rRNA from 1 species